UUACGGAAGCCCAGAUUUCCUUGAUGCUUGCUGUCACUUCUUUUUUGUUUUCGGGUCUGGUGCCCCUCAUUUUCCUCUCGAUACCACCCCAUUGAUUCUCUCUCUUUCCCCUGCCCUCUCUCUUUCAGCACCUUCCUCAAGCCGCACAACUGUCUCCAAUCGGGCCUCGUCACCACCUACAUAUAAGCCUGCCUGUUCCCGGAAAUCCUCGCCAAAGUAUUGCAGUUACUUCCAGCGGUACCACGGACCCAUUUACCUCACGGCUUGACAAACCACUUGCCGAUGCGCACAAAGCUGCGAUUCAUGAGGCAGCGUUCCAGCAGGUUGUGGAUGGCUUUGAACAGCAGCGUACGGCACUCGUAGGAAAGACCGUUCUCCCAGAGUCCAUCAUCCUCAGCUGGGGGGGAGAGAUGCAAAAGUGUCCAUGAGCGAAGUGAGACUGUCGCUGUGGAGGAUUCAGCAUCGACCGACCGGAAAAGGAUCUGAGGAGGACCACUCCCCAGAAGGCUACCUGCUGUGCUUCAUUUCAUCAAAUGGACUCUCAUGCUGUUCAAACUAACAUUUUGCAUCUUUGAUUUAUCAUAUCGUGUGAUUAUUGAUCACUAUCACACACUACACUUAUAUUAUACAACUAGUAUCUAUCUAGCGAGCUUGUCAGCUCGCUAGUCUGGUCAUCCUACAAGGAGGAUCCCUCCAUCUGAGAUUCUUUCUCAAAGCUUCUUCACCCCCCCCCCCCCCCCCCCCCCCCCCACAAAUGGAGAUUCUGGGAGUUCUUCCUUGCCCGGAUGGGUUUUUAGACCAGAGGAUGUUGUCCAUCCGUGUGAACUGUGGACUUUUGAAGUUCUUUGAAACUAUUUUGUGAUUCAGGGCUAUAUCCAUAAUGAACUUGACUUCAUAAAUGUUUUAUGACUGCAGCAGGUCCUGGAAUGGAGUAUAUACUUUAUUGGGUAUUGGAAAAAUUGUUUAGAAACGGGAACACAUCAAC